rnacentral:rRNA from 1 species
UGGCGGCGUGGAUUAGGCAUGCAAGUCGAACGAGAACGGAGUCUUCGGACUCCUAGUAGAGUGGCGAACGGGUGAGUAACGCGUGGGAAAUCUGCCUCUGAGAUGGGGAUAACUCCCCUAACGGGGUGCUAAUACCGAAUGACAUUGUCAUUUCGCAUGUUAUGACAAUCAAAGGUGGCCUCUGCUUGCAAGCUACUACUCAGAGAUGGUCCCGCGUCCCAUUAGCUUGUUGGUAGGGUAACGGCUUACCAAGGCGACGAUGGGUAGCUGGUCUGAGAGGACGGCCAGCCACACUGGGACUGAGAUACGGCCCAGACUCCUACGGGAAGCAGCAGUCGAGAGGCUUUGGCAAUGGGGGAAACCCUGACCAAGCGACGCCGCGUGGGCGACGAAGGCCUUCGGGUUGUAAAGCCCUGUCAUGCGGGAAGAAAGAUCUCGGUGAUAACACCACAGAGAUUUGACGGUACCGCAAGAGGAAGCUCCGGCUAACUCCGUG